rnacentral:rRNA from 1 species
UACGUAGGGUGCAAGCGUUGUCCGGAAUUAUUGGGCGUAAAGAGCUCGUAGGCGGCCUGUUGCGUCCGCUGUGAAAGCCCGGGGCUUAACCCCGGGUCGGCAGUGGAUACGGGCAGGCUAGAGGUAGGUAGGGGAGAAUGGAAUUCCCGGUGUAGCGGUGAAAUGCGCAGAUAUCAGGAGGAACACCAAUGGCGAAGGCAGCUCGCUGGGACGGUACUGACGCUGAGGCGCGAAAGCGUGGGGAGCAAACAGG